rnacentral:rRNA from 1 species
GAUGAACGCUGGCGGCGUGCCUAAUACAUGCAAGUCGAGCGAACGGACGAGAAGCUUGCUUCUCUGAUGUUAGCGGCGGACGGGUGAGUAACACGUGGAUAACCUACCUAUAAGACUGGGAUAACUUCGGGAAACCGGAGCUAAUACCGGAUAAUAUUUUGAACCGCAUGGUUCAAAAGUGAAAGACGGUCUUGCUGUCACUUAUAGAUGGAUCCGCGCUGCAUUAGCUAGUUGGUAAGGUAACGGCUUACCAAGGCAACGAUGCAUAGCCGACCUGAGAGGGUGAUCGGCCACACUGGAACUGAGACACGGUCCAGACUCCUACGGGAGGCAGCAGUAGGGAAUCUUCCGCAAUGGGCGAAAGCCUGACGGAGCAACGCCGCGUGAGUGAUGAAGGUCUUCGGAUCGUAAAACUCUGUUAUUAGGGAAGAACAUAUGUGUAAGUAACUGUGCACAUCUUGACGGUACCUAAUCAGAAAGCCACGGCUAACUACGUGCCAGCAGCCGCGGUAAUACGUAGGUGGCAAGCGUUAUCCGGAAUUAUUUGGGCGUAAAGCGCGCGUAGGCGGUUUUUUAGUCUGAUGUGAAAGCCCACGGCUUUUCCGUGGAGGGUCAUUGGAAACUGGAAAACUUGAGUGCAUUAGAGGAAAGUGGAAUUCCAUGUGUAGCGGUGAAAUGCGCAGAGAUAUGGAGGAACACCAGUGGCGAAGGCGACUUUCUGGUCUGUAACUGACGCUGAUGUGCGAAAGCGUGGGGAUCAAACAGGAUUAGAUACCCUGGUAGUCCACGCCGUAAACGAUGAGUGCUAAGUGUUAGGGGGUUUCCGCCCCUUAGUGCUGCAGCUAACGCAUUAAGCACUCCGCCUGGGGAGUACGACCGCAAGGUUGAAACUCAAAGGAAUUGACGGGGACCCGCACAAGCGGUGGAGCAUGUGGUUUAAUUCGAAGCAACGCGAAGAACCUUACCAAAUCUUGACAUCCUUUGACAACUCUAGAGAUAGAGCUUUCCCCUUCGGGGGACAAAGUGACAGGUGGUGCAUGGUUGUCGUCAGCUCGUGUCGUGAGAUGUUGGGUUAAGUCCCGCAACGAGCGCAACCCUUAAGCUUAGUUGCCAUCAUUAAGUUGGGCACUCUAAGUUGACUGCCGGUGACAAACCGGAGGAAGGUGGGGAUGACGUCAAAUCAUCAUGCCCCUUAUGAUUUGGGCUACACACGUGCUACAAUGGACAAUACAAAGGGCAGCGAAACCGUGAGGUCAAGCAAAUCCCAUAAAGUUGUUCUCAGUUCGGAUUGUAGUCUGCAACUCGACUACAUGAAGCUGGAAUCGCUAGUAAUCGUAGAUCAGCAUGCUACGGUGAAUACGUUCCCGGGUCU